ACCUUGGUGGCUUAGUUGGUAGAGCGCUGGAGUAUUGAUCCAGAGGCCGUGAGUUCAAGUCUCACUUAAGGCA